rnacentral:rRNA from 1 species
UACAGAGGGUGCAAGCGUUGUUCGGAAUUAUUGGGCGUAAAGCGCGCGCAGGCGGUCCUAUAAGUCUGAUGUGAAAGCCCCCGGCUCAACCGGGGAGGGUCAUUGGAAACUGUAGGACUUGAGUACUGGAGAGAAGAGUGGAGUUCCACGUGUAGCGGUGAAAUGCGUAGAGAUGUGGAGGAACACCAGUGGCGAAGGCGGCCAUCUGGGACAACACUGACGCUGAGGCACGAAAGCGUGGGGAGCAAACAGG